rnacentral:rRNA from 2 species
GGGGCGUACGCGUUUGCGGGCGGUGCCUAUACAUGCAAGUCGAGCGGACAGAAGGGAGCUUGCUCCCGGAUGUUAGCGGCGGACGGGUGAGUAACACGUGGGUAACCUGCCUGUAAGACUGGGAUAACUCCGGGAAACCGGAGCUAAUACCGGAUAGUUCCUUGAACCGCAUGGUUCAAGGAUGAAAGACGGUUUCGGCUGUCACUUACAGAUGGACCCGCGGCGCAUUAGCUAGUUGGUGGGGUAAUGGCUCACCAAGGCGACGAUGCGUAGCCGACCUGAGAGGGUGAUCGGCCACACUGGGACUGAGACACGGCCCAGACUCCUACGGGAGGCAGCAGUAGGGAAUCUUCCGCAAUGGACGAAAGUCUGACGGAGCAACGCCGCGUGAGUGAUGAAGGUUUUCGGAUCGUAAAGCUCUGUUGUUAGGGAAGAACAAGUGCGAGAGUAACUGCUCGCACCUUGACGGUACCUAACCAGAAAGCCACGGCUAACUACGUGCCAGCAGCCGCGGUAAUACGUAGGUGGCAAGCGUUGUCCGGAAUUAUUGGGCGUAAAGGGCUCGCAGGCGGUUUCUUAAGUCUGAUGUGAAAGCCCCCGGCUCAACCGGGGAGGGUCAUUGGAAACUGGGAAACUUGAGUGCAGAAGAGGAGAGUGGAAUUCCACGUGUAGCGGUGAAAUGCGUAGAGAUGUGGAGGAACACCAGUGGCGAAGGCGACUCUCUGGUCUGUAACUGACGCUGAGGAGCGAAAGCGUGGGGAGCGAACAGGAUUAGAUACCCUGGUAGUCCACGCCGUAAACGAUGAGUGCUAAGUGUUAGGGGGUUUCCGCCCCUUAGUGCUGCAGCUAACGCAUUAAGCACUCCGCCUGGGGAGUACGGUCGCAAGACUGAAACUCAAAGGAAUUGACGGGGCCCGCACAAGCGGUGGAGCAUGUGUUUAAUUCGAAGCCC